GUGGGGAAUCUUGCGCAAUGGGCGAAAGCCUGACGCAGCCAUGCCGCGUGAAUGAUGAAGGUCUUAGGAUUGUAAAAUUCUUUCACCGGGGACGAUAAUGACGGUACCCGGAGAAGAAGCUCCGGCUAACUUCGUGCCAGCAGCCGCGGUAAUACGAAGGGGGCUAGCGUUGCUCGGAAUUACUGGGCGUAAAGGGCGCGUAGGCGGACAGCUUAGUCAGAGGUGAAAGCCCAGGGCUCAACCUUGGAAUUGCCUUUGAUACUGGCUGUGUUGAGUUUGGGAGAGGUGAGUGGAACUCCGAGUGUAGAGGUGAAAUUCGUAGAUAUUCGGAAGAACACCAGUGGCGAAGGCGACUCACUGGCCCAAUACUGACGCUGAGGCGCGAAAGCGUGGGGAGCAAACAGGAUUAGAAACCCGAGUAGUCC
rnacentral:rRNA from 1 species